rnacentral:rRNA from 1 species
GAUGAACGCUGGCGGCGUGCUUAACACAUGCAAGUCGAACGAAGCACUUUGGAUGGAUCUCUUCGGAAUGAUAUCCUUGGUGACUGAGUGGCGGACGGGUGAGUAACACGUAAGCAACCUGCCUAUAAGUGGGGGAUAACAUCCGGAAACGGGUGCUAAUACCGCAUAAUAACCGACACCACAUGGUGUAAGUUUGAAAGAUGGCUCUGCUGUCACUUAUAGAUGACCUUGCGGUGCAUUAGCUAGUUGGUGGGGUAAUAGCCUACCAAGGCCAUGAUGCAUAGCCGACCUGAGAGGGUGAUCGGCCACAUUGGGACUGAGAUACGGCCCAG